GACGAACGCUGGCGGCGUGCCUAAUACAUGCAAGUCGAGCGAGCUUGCCUAGAUGAAUUUGGUGCUUGCACCAAAUGAAACUAGAUACAAGCGAGCGGCGGACGGGUGAGUAACACGUGGGUAACCUGCCCAAGAGACUGGGAUAACACCUGGAAACAGAUGCUAAUACCGGAUAACAACACUAGACGCAUGUCUAGAGUUUAAAAGAUGGUUCUGCUAUCACUCUUGGAUGGACCUGCGGUGCAUUAGCUAGUUGGUAAGGUAACGGCUUACCAAGGCAAUGAUGCAUAGCCGAGUUGAGAGACUGAUCGGCCACAUUGGGACUGAGACACGGCCCAAACUCCUACGGGAGGCAGCAGUAGGGAAUCUUCCACAAUGGACGCAAGUCUGAUGGAGCAACGCCGCGUGAGUGAAGAAGGGUUUCGGCUCGUAAAGCUCUGUUGGUAGUGAAGAAAGAUAGAGGUAGUAACUGGCCUUUAUUUGACGGUAAUUACUUAGAAAGUCACGGCUAACUACGUGCCAGCAGCCGCGGUAAUACGUAGGUGGCAAGCGUUGUCCGGAUUUAUUGGGCGUAAAGCGAGCGCAGGCGGUUCUUUAAGUCUGAUGUGAAAGCCCCCGGCUCAACCGGGGAGGGUCAUUGGAAACUGGAGAACUUGAGUGCAGAAGAGGAGAGUGGAAUUCCACGUGUAGCGGUGAAAUGCGUAGAUAUGUGGAGGAACACCAGUGGCGAAGGCGACUCUCUGGUCUGUAACUGACGCUGAGGCUCGAAAGCGUGGGGAGCAAACAGG
rnacentral:rRNA from 1 species